rnacentral:lncRNA from 1 species
UUAUCUAAUGAAGCAGGAGGCUCACCCUCCCCAUCAGGAACCACUCCUCCAACUCUGUUGUGGAAACACAACUUCUCAGGACCUACUCUGCUCAGCUUCCUACAAGGUUGCUGCCAGACUAGACCAGAACUGAAUGUAGUAGGGACUGCACCUGGGUUCUGAAUCCUUCAGAUACAAUGGAUCCUGCCUAACUUCUCACAUUGGGAGUAUAGACUCCUGGGCUAAAAAUGCACACAAUUAAGCAAUCCCUCUGAAUUCUGGUGCUCAAUACCCAAAACAAAGUAAAACUAAGAUAAAAUGUCUUUGGCUCAAACUAUCAACUAUGUAUGUAUCUUAUAAAGAGAGCAAUUUACAUGAUAUCCUAGGUAAAGAAUAGAAAAUCCAGAGUCAUGAUAAAAGAGAUCAAAGUAUGUAAGCCACAUAUGUCAAUUGAUAGAGGACAGGAACAAAAUUAUUCGUGGGCAAGAGAAUAAUAGCAAAAGCCUGAAGGAAAGGAGGACAACAUAGGAUAUAAAAAUUUUGUUCAAUAUGUGCUUAGAAAUAAACAAGGAAAAGAGCCUGAAAAGAAAAUGCAGUAAGGCGAAUAAUAAUAACUCAUAGAGAACGUGUGAGACACAGAUUAUUAGACUUGGACAAAAGGUAGAGGAGCUGGAUACCUUAGUCAAAGAAAAUGAUGAAUUAAAGUGAUGUUAGGUUUAGGCACAAUAUUAUUUACUGCUUGGAGGGUGAGGCAAUUAAGAAAAAUUCCUUUGAAAAAGUGUCUAGAUUUUUGGCAAAAGAAAGAAAGAAUAAAGAAAGGAAAGAAGGAAGGAAGGAAGGAAGGAAGGAAGGAAGGAAGGAAGGAAGGAAGGAAGAAGGAAGGAAGGAAGGAAGGAAGGAAGGAAGGAAGGAAGAAAACAGAAAGAGACCUACAAUACAUACUGCACUGUUUAGCCAUUUGUUCAUAGAAGAUUCCCUGAUUGUGCUCUAUAAUACUCUAUGUACAUCCAUGCAUAUCUUCAUAAGCUGGGGUAAGGAGACUCAAGAAUUACCCAAGUCACCUUAGAGAAUAUGGCAUGAAGUCAACUCUUUUAAUGAAAGUAAUGAGUUCCAGGAUUCUCUUGUGACCUCUGAGGUUCAAAUCCUGUUGUGAUGACGGUGAGAGUUAAAAUGGAUUCUAGGCCAUCAUGGUAGUGAGAGCUCAGAAGCACAAGCCCAGAUCUGAUGGUCUUUCUUUACAGAACAGGGUUCUGAGCCCAUGGACACCUUUCAGAAUGCAGGGCUACUUGUUACCCAUUGUGGUGAGUUUUAUAUUUUCCCAUAUUGUGUUUAUGCAAAAAAAAAAAAGAUAGGAAAAUUAGGUCACAAGUUAAUUGAUUCUGCAUAUGUGAACAUAUUAAAC